rnacentral:rRNA from 1 species
GACGAACGCUGGCGGCGUGCUUAACACAUGCAAGUCGAGCGGUAAGGCCCUUUUUGGGGGUACACGAGCGGCGAACGGGUGAGUAACACGUGGGUGACCUGCCCUCAGCUCUGGGAUAAGCCUGGGAAACUGGGUCUAAUACUGGAUAUGACCUUUCCUCGCAUGGGGGUUGGGUGGAAAGUUUUUCGGCGUGGGGAGUGGGCCCGCGGCCUAAUCAGCUUGUUGGUGGGGUGAUGGCCUACCAAGGCGACGACGGGUAGCCGGCCUGAGAGGGCGACCGG